rnacentral:lncRNA from 1 species
UUAGAGUCUUUUUUUUCUAUAAAUAUUAGAUAUUUCUCUUGAUUAUAAUUGUAGAAAUGUACCUUGUGGAAAUUUCAUCAAAAAAAAAAUUGAAAGAAAUUAUUAAACUAAUACUAUGUCAUACGUUACAUUAUUUUGUUUAUUAAUCUUUCUUUGCUACUUAUAUUGUUUUGUAUGCACGUAUAUUUUAGCUAUUAUUUUUACUAAAUCCUACUAAUGGUGGUCAAGCUACAAAUUGCUUAACUGAUAUUUUUCUGUACAAUGAACCCAAAUCGAAUGACAUAAAAUGAAAAAUAU